AUGAACGCUGGCGGCGUGCCUAAUACAUGCAAGUCGAGCGAACGGACGAGAAGCUUGCUUUUCUGAUGUUAGCGGCGGACGGGUGAGUAACACGUGGAUAACCUACCUAUAAGACUGGGAUAACUUCGGGAAACCGGAGCUAAUACCGGAUAAUAUUUUGAACCGCAUGGUUCAUAAGUGAAAGACGGUCUUGCUGUCACUUAUAGAUGGAUCCGCGCUGCAUUAGCUAGUUGGUAAGGUAACGGCUUACCAAGGCAGCGAUGCAUAGCCGACCUGAGAGGGUGAUCGGCCACACUGGAACUGAGACACGGUCCAGACUCCUACGGGAGGCAGCAGUAGGGAAUCUUCCGCAAUGGGCGAAAGCCUGACGGAGCAACGCCGCGUGAGUGAUGAAGGUCUUCGGAUCGUAAAACUCUGUUAUUAGGGAAGAACAUAUGUGUAAGUAACUGUGCACAUCUUGACGGUACCUAAUCAGAAAGCCACGGCUAACUACGUG
rnacentral:rRNA from 1 species